rnacentral:rRNA from 1 species
CAGUAGCCGCGGUAAUGCGAAGGGUGCAAGCGCUAAUCGGAAUUACUGGGCGUAAAGCGUGCGUAGGCGGUGAGUUAAGUCUGCUGUGAAAUCCCCGGGCUCAACCUGGGAAUGGCAGUGGAUACUGGCUCGCUAGAGUGUGUCAGAGGAUGGUGGAAUUCCCGGUGUAGCGGUGAAAUGCGUAGAGAUCGGGAGGAACAUCAGCGGCGAAGGCGGCCAUCUGGGACAACACUGACGCUGAGGCACGAAAGCGUGGGGAGCAAACAGGAUUAGAUACCCCCGUAGUCCCUGUCUCUUAUAC